GGUUCGAUGGCGUAGUUGGUUUAUCGCAUCUGUCUAACAUAGACUCACAAUGAUCGAGUGGCGAAAAUGUUUCACAGAAGGUCCCCGGUUCGAGCCCGGGUCGAAUCA